AUUGAACGCUGGCGGCAUGCCUUACACAUGCAAGUCGAACGGCAGCACGGGUGCUUGCACCUGGUGGCGAGUGGCGAACGGGUGAGUAAUACAUCGGAACGUACCUUAUCGUGGGGGAUAACGCAGCGAAAGCUGUGCUAAUACCGCAUACGCCAUGAGGGGGAAAGCGGGGGAUCGCAAGACCUCGCGCGAUUAGAGCGGCCGAUGCCUGAUUAGCUUGUUGGUGGGGUAAAAGCCCACCAAGGAGACGAUCAGUAGCUGGUCUGAGAGGACGGUCAGCACCACGGGGACUGAGAAAGGGCCCAGACUCCUACGGGAGGCAGCAGGGGGGAAUUUUGAACAAUGGGGGAAACCCUGAACCAGCAAUGCCGCGUGAGUGAAGAAGGCCUUCGGGUUGUAAAGCUCUUUUGUCAGGGGAGAAACACCGGCUCUAACACAGUCCGGGAAUGACGGUACCUGAAGAAUAAGCACCGGCUAACUACGUGCCAGCCGCCGCGGUAA
rnacentral:rRNA from 1 species